rnacentral:rRNA from 1 species
GAUGAACGCUAGCGGCAGGCCUAACACAUGCAAGUCGAGGGGUAGAAGUUGCUUGCAACUUUGAGACCGGCGCACGGGUGCGUAACGCGUAUGCAAUCUGCCUUGUACUGAGGGACAGCCCAGAGAAAUUUGGAUUAAUACCUCAUAGCAUUAUGAUGUGGCAUCACAUUAUAAUUAAAGUUCCAACGGUACAAGAUGAGCAUGCGUCCCAUUAGUUAGUUGGUAAGGUAACGGCUUACCAAGACGAUGAUGGGUAGGGGUCCUGAGAGGGGGAUCCCCCACACUGGUACGGAGACACGGACCAGACUCCUACGGGAGGCAGCAGUGAGGAAUAUUGGUCAAUGGGCGCAAGCUUGAACCAGCCAUGCCGCGUGCAGGAUGACGCAUCUAUGGUGUGUAAACUGCUUUUGUACAGGAAGAAACACUCCCUCGUGAGGGAGCUUGACGGUACUGUGAGAAUAAGGAUCGGCUAACUCCGUGCCAGCAGCCGCGGUAA